CACUGACAGCUCACUAUGGAGUUUUUGCUUGGAUGGGUUUUCCUGUUUGCUGUUUUAAAAGGUGUCCAGUGUGAGGUGCAGCUGGUGGAGUCUGGGGGAGGCCUGGUGAAGCCUGGGGGCUCCCUGCAACUCUCCUGUGCAGCCUCUGGAUUUGACUUCAGUAACUACUACAUGCACUGGGUCCGCCAGGCUCCAGAGAAGGGGCUGGCAUGGGUCUCAUGGAUUAAAUAUGAUGGAAGUAGCACAAGCUAUGCGGACUCCGUGAAGGGCCGAUUCACCAUCUCCAGGGACAACGCCACGAACACGCUCUAUCUGCAGAUGAACAACCUGAGAGUCGAGGACACGGCCAUGUAUUUCUGUACAGCAUGCAAAUUGAGGGGUUGUCACUGUGGGCCCAGACACAAACCUCCCUGUAGUAGGGGAGCAGCACCACCAGGUGUGUACUCCCAGGUGCAGCUGAAGCAGUCUGGAGCUAAGUUGAGGAAGCCUGGAGUGUCAGUGAAAGUCUCCUGUGAAUCAUCUUGA